UGAUUUCGUUUUAAAUAAAUAUUAAUGAAUAGUUGAAGCGUGAUGCAUUGAAUUUGAAGUAUGUGAUAUGCAUGAUGAAGCGCGAAACGAGUUUAUUCAAGCGUAUACUGAAUCAGUGGCACACAGUGCAAUUCAUGAUUCGUGAGGCAGUUGAUUGCGAGCAAGUGAUUGAAGUGGUGAUUCGAAGAUUGUUCAUUCAGUUGGAUUCAGUGUGCUUGUUCGGUGCAAAUCCGUUCUUUCGCGUGGCGUGAAUAAUUGCUCAUACGUGCGAUUUUCAUGAGAUUAGAUAGAACUGAUUCAUACACAAGGAGCUGGUUUAACUCGAGCGCUGCAAUGUGUGAAACUCAUUAAUUUGGAGUGGAGAAGAAGUUCACGCACAAGACCAAGGAGGCUCUCGUGAGCGGUGAGCAACCACCACGCGUAGUUCAAGUUUACUCCUCUCUACCUCGUGGCUUCUCUACUCUCCGACAAGAGAGAAGUGGGCUCGUGCGGUGAGGGCAGUGCUCAAUCAACCACUGAAGAGCCUUCUAUCGCAGUCUCCUCCUUCGGCUGACGUUUCGGUGCGUACGAACCUCAUCAAAGUCAUCUGCAAAGCACAUGAUCAAGAUGUAUUAACUUUUUUUUUUUAGUAAUUACACGUUGAUUUCAAAAUCGUUGUCUA
rnacentral:lncRNA from 1 species